CCUACGGGAGACAGCAGUGGGGAAUAUUGGGCAAUGGGCGCAAGCCUGACCCAGCAACGCCGCGUGCAGGAAGAAGGCUUUCGGGUUGUAAACUUCUUUUAUUAGGGACGAAGCAAGUGACUGUACCUGAUGAAUAAGCCACGGCUAACUACGUGCCAGCAGCCGCGGUAAUACGUAGGUGGCAAGCGUUAUCCGGAUUUGCUGGGUGUAAAGGGCGUGUAGGCGGGAGUGCAAGUCAGAUGUGAAAUCUAUGGGCUCAACCCAUAGCCUGCAUUUGAAACUGGACUUCUUGAGUGCUGGGGAGGCAAUCGGAAUUCCGGGUGUAGCGGUGAAAUGCGUAGAUAUACGGAGGAACACCAGUGGCGAAGGCGGAUUACGGGACAGUAACUGACGCUGAGGCGCGAAGGCGUGGGGAGCGAACAGGAUUAGAUACCCUUGUAGUC
rnacentral:rRNA from 1 species